rnacentral:rRNA from 1 species
UCAAGCUGUAAAGGGCGCAAGGGGAAUGCCUUGGCACUGAGAGCCGAUGAAGGACGCGACAAGCUGCGAUAAGCUACGGGGAGCCGCAAAUGGGCUUUGAUCCGUAGAUUUCCGAAUGGGGAAACCCGGCAGAGCAAUACUCUGUCAACGUACACUGAAUACAUAGGUGUACGUGGGGAACCGCCUGAACUGAAACAUCUAAGUAGGGCGAGGAAGAGAAAUCAACCGAGAUUCCGCCAGUAGUGGCGAGCGAACGCGGAAGAGGCCAAACCAGUGGAUUUAUUCACUGGGGUUGCGGACAGUCAAGAAGUGAGAAAUGGUUAGACGAAGGGUCUGGGAAGGCCCGCCACAGAAGGUGAGAGCCCUGUAGUCGAAAACGAUUUCUUAGUGGACUGGAUCCAGAGUACCACGGGACACGUGAAACCCUGUGGGAAACCGGGGGGACCACCCUCCAAGCCUAAAUACUACCUGAUGACCGAUAGAGGAGCAGUACCGUGAGGGAAAGGUGAAAAGGACCCCGGGAGGGGAGUGAAAGAGAACCUGAAACCUUGUGCUUACAAGCAGUCAAAGCACGUUAACGUGUGAUGACGUACUUUUUGUAGAACGGUCCGGCGAGUUAUAGUAACGAGCAAGCUUAAGGUAUUGAGUACCGGAGGCGAAGCGAGAGCGAGUCUGAAUAGGGCGUAAAGUUCGUUGCCAUAGACCCGAAACCGGGUGACCUAUCCAUGAGCAGGCUGAAGUGAGAGUAAAAUCUCAUGGAGGGCCGAACCGACCCCCGUUGCAAUGGUGGCGGAUGACUUGUGGAUAGCGGAGAAAUUCCAAUCGAACUCGGAGAUAGCUGGUUCUCCCCGAAAUAGCUUUAGGGCUAGCGUUAUGUUAGAUUACCGGAGGUAAAGCACUGAAUGGUGGCGGGGCCGAUAAGGUUACCAAGACCUAUCAAACUCUGAAUGCCGGAUAAUUGAUGCAUAGCAGUCAGACAGCGUGAGAUAAGUUUCGUUGUCAAAAGGGAAACAGCCCAGACCCACAGCUAAGGUCCCAAAUUCAUGCUAAGUGGAAAACGAUGUGGAAUUGCGAAAACAACCAGGAUGUUGGCUUAGAAGCAGCCACUCAUUAAAAGAGUGCGUAAUAGCUCACUGGUCGAGUGACUCUGCGCGGAAAAUAUAACGGGGCUAAGCAUGAAACCGAAGCUUGGGCUUGUCUUAGGACAGGGGUAGGGGAGCGUCGAGUAUGGGGUGAAGUCAGAGCGGAAGCACUGGUGGACUGUACUGGAGUGAGAAUGCCGGAAUGAGUAGCGAGAAUUAUGUGGGAAUCAUAAUGGCCGAAAAUCUAAGGUUUCCUGGGGAAGGUUCGUCCGCCCAGGGUUAGUCGGGAGCUAAGCUCAGGCCGAAAGGCGUAGGCGAUGCACAUACGGUAGAAAUUCCGUAACCACCGAACUUUAAGCUAGAGGGACGCUUUCUUUAAGGUUAUCCCGGGCGAUGGUUGCCCCGGGCGUAAGGGACCGAAAUUUAGUAGGGAAGUAACUGGCGAGAGAGACGAGAAAAGCUCUAGUGUAUACUAAGGUGCCCGUACCGCAAACCGACACAGGUAGAAGGGAUGAGUAUUCUAAGGCCAACGGGAGAAGGGUUGUUAAGGAACUCGGCAAAUUGGCCCCGUAACUUCGGGAUAAGGGGCGCCUGCGAGAGCAGGCCGCAGUGAAAAGGCCCAAGCGACUGUUUAGCAAAAACACAGCUCUCUGCUAAAUCGAAAGAUGACGUAUAGGGGGUGACGCCUGCCCGGUGCUGGAAGGUUAAGGGGAGUGCUUAGCGCAAGCGAAGGUGCGAACUUAAGCCCCAGUAAACGGCGGCCGUAACUAUAACGGUCCUAAGGUAGCGAAAUUCCUUGUCAGGUAAGUUCUGACCCGCACGAAUGGCGUAACGAUUUGGGCACUGUCUCAACAGCCCGCCCGGCGAAAUUGUAGUACCGGUGAAGAU